rnacentral:rRNA from 1 species
UACGUAGGCAGCGAGCGUUGUUCGGAGUUACUGGGCGUAAAGCGUGCGUAGGCGGUGUCUUAAGUUUGUUGUGAAAUCUCCCGGCUUAACCGGGAGGGUGCGGCGAAUACUGAGAUGCUGGAGUGCGGGAGAGGUAAGCGGAAUUCCUGGUGUAGCGGUGAAAUGCGUAGAUAUCAGGAGGAACACCGAUGGCGAAGGCAGCUCGCUGGGACGGUACUGACGCUGAGGCGCGAAAGCGUGGGGAGCAAACAGG